GUUUUUUUUUUUGUGAGGCGGCAGCCCCGAUUUGUUUAAUCUCGCGCCUGAACAAUGAUCAUAGCAGCAUGAUAGUGGGGGGGGGGGAAUCCCAGGAUUGGAUCGUAGCAGUACUCCUAACCAUGUUCGCAAUUCCAGCUCAUGUUCUGCCGUGUCGAGUUUUACCGGAUUGAAUCAACGACCCGAAAUUUAACCGUCCAACAAAAACUAACUCAAUUCGUUACCGUAUAUGAAUUCCACCGCUUUUCAAAAAAUCGCAAAAUGCAACCCAUUCUUUUGUUAAAAUUCACACGAACUAUGAUCAAAAUGGCACUUUUUUGCUGAAUUUUGUGAAAAUUUUACCCAAAUUUUGUCAAAUUUACAUGAACUAUGAUCAAAUCGACACAUUUUCUCUCUUGUAGGCUACCAAAACCUUUCGAACACAUGCUACUCGUAUCUUAAGCCAUAAUUAUAUGUGAUAGCAUUCUUGAGACGGGCGGGACACAAGGGUCAUGGGAAUGAGUAAGGUCUGGGGGCGGUGAAUUUUCUACUAAUGUUGUAUUGCGUCUACUUUUAUUCUAUCGUCUCACUUAUGAAUAGCUGGCACUUCGGGCUCGAGAGUGACGUGAGCAUAAGUAUUUUAUUUUUCAGUAUUUUUUAGUGUCUCGUCGGAUGUGAUGUGUGAGACCGAAGUUCGAUAUGCACAAGCAUGGGUGGAUGGACGAGUGGAAUAGACAACCUUAGUUUGACAAAUGGCCAAUUGUAGUAAUCUAAACCCUAGUAAUGAAAACCUCAUUUUUUCCUUGUUUGGGUUAGAAAAAGGGGUCGAUGGCUCUUUUUCAAGUAAAACAAGAUAUUCAAGAUAGUACGCUUUUAUAAAAAAGCAUGAUUUCUGAAGAAAAUAGUAUAUCUUAAUAGAGAUACAACCGAGCUUUCAGCACUAGAAAGCCAGAUAAGCAUAUUUUGCAAACGCUAGGUCAGAUAGAAAGCGCGUAAACAUGCGGGUCAUAUAGAAUUGUCUUUAAUCAAACUUAGCCCAUCUCUAACAAAUCCAUGUAGUAUAUUCCCUCGUCUUAUCCAUGUCCUCCGAAAAACUAUUUUAGAGGAUUAAACUCUGGAUUUCAAUAACGAUCUAAUGAUCGAUCGUGGGCUGGAAUGAACGAAAGGUUCGCGAUGAGGAAUUCCCCUGCUCGAACAUUUUCGUUCGAUACGACCCCCGCCCCAGCGUACCGUGUGCGCAAAACCCACGUCAGCUAGGCCCUCUACUAGGCCUCCUGCCCAACACGAUUCCCUUUGCACAUAGAAUAAAAAAGUGAAAAUUGUCCAAUAUACAAAAACAAAAAAAAUCACACUGGCACAUGUAGUAAGUGUUACCAUGGAGUGUAUAAAAAAUUAAUCGUCAUCUUAUAUACAAAAACUUGCCGAUAUCUAGCACAUUAAAAAAAUCAUGCAUGGCAAAAUUGCCACGAAAAUAUAGAGGAAUAAAAAUUGUAGAAAAUUUUCCAUGAUGUAGGUCAUAACAAAAAAAUACAACAUGUGUGGUAAGAAACUUCAUAUUUAAAAUUGAGCUAUCAUGCUUUAGGUCAAUAGAUAUUAGAUUAAAAAACAAAGGGUCUCCCUAGGGAUUGCACAUCUAAGUGACUAAAUCAAGCAUACAAAGGAAAAAAAAUACCCACACAAAUCUCGCGUAAAAUCAAUGACAUGGGACUUGGAUGUGCAAUACGUAUGGCACAUCUAGAUGUGCUUUAGCAAAACUGACAAAGGAAAUAAAAAAAACGUAAGUUAGCCAUAAUAGUGGGUGUAUGUUUGACCAUAAGUUUGCCUUAUGUAAAUGGCAUGCAUGAGAAACAAAAUUUGACAUACCUUAAAACAUGAAAAGAAAACUUAACAUUGAACUUAAAUUGUCAUUGUUUUAUAAAGAUGAUGGCCAAAAUUUGAAUUUUAUUAUGAAAAUAGUCUCAUGAAACAAAUUUGCCAUGUGGAUAUUCAAAAAAUAAAUUUGCCAUGGUGUCAAAAAAUGAAUUUGCAAUGGUUUCUGCAACAAAUUUGGCACGCUCUGAAAAUAUAAUUGACCAUGGUCCAAAAUAUGAAUUUUCUAUGGUACCAAAAAUGAACUUGCCAUGGCCAAAUAUAUAAGUUUUCCAUGAUAGAGAACAAAAACAAUUUGUUAUGGUCUAAUUUUUUUUUACCAUAGAUUGUUCGAUACAAUUUUCAUGGAUUGUUAGAAACAUGAUAGAGGAAAUUUUACCAUGCAUUGUUCGAUAAAUUUGUCGUGCUUCAAAAAGAAAAUUACAAAAUGGUUAAAAAGCUUAAUUUGCCGUUGUUCAUAUAGUAUAUUUGCCAUCAACUAUAAAGUAAAUUUGCCAUGGUGCAAAGGAAAAAAUGGCUAUGGUACAAAAAAUCAUGACAAAUUUGAUUGUCGUGGUACACAAGUUUGCCGUUAUAACUCCAAAAUUGGGGUCCACUAAUUUAGAAAAUGUGAGUUUCCAUGUGGCCACAAAUUUCAAAAUUGCCAUAUGUGUGGAACAAAAAUUUGUAUAGUUACCAUUUGAGCAUUAACAUGUUUUCUAAAAUUUGCCAUGCUUUGAGAUUGCCAUGUGAUUACAAGAAAGAUUUUUUUUUUAACUUUGCCAUGAGUGGGGAGGGGAAAAAAAUCCUAGAGUUGUCAUGUGAUAGUUAUUUUUUUCUAAAAUUGCCGUGUUUUGAAAAAAAAAAGGAUGUUUCGAAAUUGUCAUGUGACCAUAAGAAACAAUUCUCAAAAUUUUGCCAUUUGUGGAGAGCAAAAUAUCCUAUAGUUGCCUCGCAAGCGCUAAAAUUUCCUACAUUUGUCACGUACUCUUAGCAACAAUUCCUAGAAUUGUCAUGUCUUACACACCAAAAAAGCGAAAAAAUGCCAUCUAAAACAUGUUUUUUUUGCCGUGUGAAACAUUACCAGAAUGUGUAAAAUUUGCCAUGUGACAUGUUUUCGAAUUUCAUAAACUUCCCCAUGUGGACAUUACAGAAACCUAUGAACUUCCCAUGUACCUAACACAGAAUUUUGCGAUGUCAUGUAUAAGAUUUGCCAUGCCAUGGCAUGUAGAAAAAUCCAUAGAGAAUUUGCCGUGAGAACAGGAAUGUUUAGUCGCAAUCACAAAAGGAAUUUGCCAUGUAGAAAAAUCCAUAGAGAAUUUGCCAUGAGAACAAGAAUAUUUAGUUGCCAUCAUAAAAGGAAUUUGCCAUGGCAAAAUGUUGAGACGAAUAAAAAAUUGAGACACACAAAGAAAUGCCUGAUGCAUCGCAAAUGAACAAAGCUAUUUUUUCCCUAAAAAAUCAUGGCAAUUUCGUGAUAAAAAAUGGAGACAUGACAAAUGCUAUAAAUCAUUGAUGGCAAAUUCAAAACUAAGUGUAAUGUUCACAUCAUAUGAAAAAUGAGUGGGCAACUCAUACACAUGCAUGAUGGCAAAAUGAACCAAGCAGUAGAUCAUAGCUAAAAUCAUCAUUGAUGGCAAUUUCAGAACUAAGCGUGAUGUUCACAUCAUAUGGAAAAUGAGUGGGCAGCUCAUACAUAUGCAUGAUGGCAAAAUGAACAAAGAAGUAGACAAUAGCUAAAAUCAUAUAAAUUUACCACACAAAUCGUAUAAAGAAUACAAACAUUUUCAAAACGUACUAGCAUACUUUAUAGAGCACAAUUCCUUGUCAUGUAGUCGGUCCAUUCACUCUACACAAAUUAGCGCAAAUAAUCGGUGAGCAAGGCAAGAGGAAGCCGACCACGUUGUUCUGUAGGCUGGGUUGCUCAUCUCCGGCCUCAGAAAAGAAAAACACACACACACACACACCAUGUAUGGAUGAGGGUAGGCCUCACACCGACGAACUCACUGAUGAUGCUCAAUCAACGUGCACACCACACAACGGUGUCUUGUGCUCCUUCGUGAGGAAGGAAAGCACAUCAGGGAGAGGGAAGAAGAGCAAAUCGUCGAAACCGGACCAAGGCGGGUGCGGGGCAGCCACAUGGAGAGGAGAAGAAAGGCGAGAGUGGGGGAGAGGACCUUGACGUCAACUCCAUGGCGUAGGGGGUGUCAGGGGAGCACGGACCAGGCGAGCCCUCUCCUGAGAUGGAACAAGUCUUCCCUGCCAGGGAAGGCGGGGCGCUAACAUCUAGUCCUAGAGGCUGUUUCUGGCCAGGGCAUCGAGGCCGACAUUCUCAAUGUAGUCGAGGUGGACAACUAAGUUGGAGGUGGGGGGUUAGGCGGCUGGGGGAGAAGGAAGGAGGGGGUCAAUCAUCCUAGCAUCGAAAGUACUUCUCGUCAUCUAGGCAAGAACGAAAACAAUUCAGGGAUACAAAUCUAUUUUUUUGGAAAUAUAGGGGCCUCUUGGAUUGAAGGAUUUUCAAAGGAAUAUUGGAGGGUUCCAAUCCAUUGAAUUCUUUCCUAAGGUAGGCCUUUGGAUCAAAGGAACAACACCUCCAAAAUUCCCUAUGGAUUGCAUUCCUACCCCUCAAUCAUAUAGGAAUUUCAACAUCCACUAUAACCUCUUUUUUUUUACACCGAUUCGUGUAGGAUCGAGGCACUUUCCUGUGUUCCAUCCAAAUGACCAUUCUUACAGUUUUCCUCUGUUUUGCACCUACAAUCCCGUCAAACUCUUGUGUUUUGUAAUCAUGUGAUCCAAAGAAGCCCUAGAAGGUUUUGGGGCUCUGCUAGAUGAGCUUAGGCCUCCUUGGUUCAUAGGAUAAAAGGUUUUGGGGCUCUGCUAGGUGAGCUUAGGCCUCCUUGGUUCAUAGGAUAGAAGGUUUUGGGGCUCUGCUACAUGAGCUUAGGCCUUCUUGGAUCAUAGGAUAGAAAAGUCAUACAAAAUGAGGUGACAUGUAUCUGAAAUCCUAUGAAUAGGAAUAGAAAAGAUGAUGCCCUUCACAUCAUAGAAUUUUUUUCACCGAGUCUAGGCUAAUGUUUAUUAGCCUAUAGAAAGAAUUCUCCAUAUGGAUAGGAUUCUAUUCCUACAAACCAAAGGAAUUUUCUCUAUACACCUCAUAUCCUAUGAGAUUCCUAUAAAAUUCCUACAAACCAAAUUUAAUUCCUACACUCCCCAUUUAUUAUAGCUUCUAGGGGAUGCCCUCAUAAGCAUGGGGUCUGCUUCAUGCCUCUGAAAUCGAACGGCAAUCCGUAACCAUCGGCCAUGGGACGUCAUUACAGCCAUAACUCGUAAUACAGACCAACAGAAGUUGGCUAACUAAACCGCUGAUCAUAUUAUGAGAGCAAACCAAUACGGUAGGAACCACCGAGAGAAUCCAAAUAAGUUGACACAGACGGCAAUAGCAAUGCUGGAGAUUAUAGCAGAUAGACUGAGCAGAACAAGCACAAAGAUAAUCCACCACAUGAGCAAUCGCACACAAGCAGCUAGUUCCCAAUUCUCAAACUCAUAAAACCAUUACCCGUUACAACAUUUGUUGAGUCUAGGGAGAAAUUCAACUGCCAUGACACAUGUGUCUUAUGGAUUACACAAGUCACAAAUAUAAGAUGACGACAUAAUGGCAGCACGAUUUAACAUAACAGUCUUGCAAAAUAUAGCUGAAAAAACACAAAGACCUAGUAGACAAGACACCAUCACCAGUCCAAGCCUCUGAAGAACUGUGUCGCAGAGGCCCAUCACACUGAAAGGUCUUGAUAAAUCAU
rnacentral:lncRNA from 1 species